rnacentral:rRNA from 1 species
UAGGGAAUCUUCCGCAAUGGACGCAAGUCUGACGCAGCAACGCCGCGUGAGUGAAGAAGGAUUUCGGUUCGUAAAACUCUUUUGUUAGAGAAGAACAGCGCAUAGAGUAACUGUUAUGCGUGUGACGGUAUCUAACCAGAAAGCCACGUCUAACUACGUGCCAUCAGCCGCUGUAAUACGUAGGUGGCAAGCGUUGUCCGGAUUUAUUGGGCGUAAAGCGAGCGCAGGCGGUCAAUUAAGUCUGAUGUGAAAGCCCCGGGCUCAACAGGGGAGGGUCAUUGGAAACUGGUUGACUUGAGUGCAGAAGAGGAGAGUGGAAUUGCAAGUGUAGAGGUGAAAUGCGUAGAUAUAUGGAGGAACACCAGUGGCGAAGGCGACUGUCUGGUCUGUAACUGACGCUGAGGCUCGAAAGCGUGGGGAGCGAACAGG